UUGAAAGGGAAACGAUUGAAGUCAGUCGUGCCUGCGGACAAUCAGCCUUUCGGGUGCGAUUAUGUGGAGCGUGGGGAGCUAAACACCUUCAUGCCUGCGUAUUUGUAUUCUGGGGUGUACUUGGACGUGCGGUAGGUUAACAUCAAUUUCGGACGUCAUAAAAUGGCUGGAGGAAUGUAGCUUCGGUCUCGUACUGAAGUGUUAUAGCCUUCGGCAGAUAUGGUGACCGGGAUUGAGGAUUGCAACGGAUACCUUUUGGGCUACCCGCCUGAUCUCUGAAAGUUGCUCUGGUGUCGAAAGCUUGCUUACGGUUAUCAAAGUUGACGUUCAAAAGGUUAGAACGGGUUAAAUUCGUUAAGGAUGUUGACGUA
rnacentral:rRNA from 1 species